rnacentral:tRNA from 1 species
GGUUUUAUAGUAAUAAUAAAAACGUCAAAUUGCAAAUUUGAAAAUGUGUAAACCACUAAAACUU